UGUAUGUUAAGACAUAUUUUAAACUAUUAAAUGAUUUGAUAAUUUGAUACGUAAACUAUAAACACAAAUAGUUAUGAUAAUAUUUUUAUUACAGAUAUUUGAACCAUACUGUUCGUAUAUCAUGUAGAAGAUUCCAUAUUGUAAAUACAGGACCUAUGUACCUCAUACAUGGGUCAUUUCUUAUAUUACACAAUAAAACGAAGCCAUUGAU